rnacentral:rRNA from 1 species
UACGUAGGGUGCAAGCGUUAAUCGGAAUUACUGGGCGUAAAGCGUGCGCAGGCGGUUUGGUAAGACAGAUGUGAAAUCCCCGGGCUUAACCUGGGAAUGGCAUUUGGGACUGCAAGGCUGGAGUGCGGCAGAGGAGACUGGAAUUCCUGGUGUAGCAGUGAAAUGCGUAGAUAUCAGGAGGAAUACCGAUGGCGAAGGCAGGUCUCUGGGCUGACACUGACGCUCAUGCACGAAAGCGUGGGGAGCAAACAGG